CUACGGGCGGCAGCAGUGGGGAAUAUUGGACAAUGGGGGCAACCCUGAUCCAGCCAUGCCGCGUGUGUGAAGAAGGCCCUCGGGUUGUAAAGCACUUUCAGUGAGGAAGAACGCCUGGUGGUUAAUACCCAUCAGGAAAGACAUCACUCACAGAAGAAGCACCGGCUAACUCCGUGCCAGCAGCCGCGGUAAUACGGAGGGUGCGAGCGUUAAUCGGAAUUACUGGGCGUAAAGCGCGCGUAGGUGGCUUGAUAAGCCGGUUGUGAAAGCCCCGGGCUCAACCUGGGAACGGCAUCCGGAACUGUCAAGCUAGAGUGCAGGAGAGGAAGGUAGAAUUCCCGGUGUAGCGGUGAAAUGCGUAGAGAUCGGGAGGAAUACCAGUGGCGAAGGCGGCCUUCUGGACUGACACUGACACUGAGGUGCGAAAGCGUGGGUAGCAAACAGGAUUAGAUACCCUGGUAGUC
rnacentral:rRNA from 1 species